AAUUUGGUGUUUGUGUCAACCUGGUAAUAAUUGAAAUAGGCUGACGCUAGUACCAAGUUCC
rnacentral:pre_miRNA from 2 species